GACGAACGCUGGCGGCGUGCUUAACACAUGCAAGUCGAACGGAAAGGCCCUGCUUUUGUGGGGUGCUCGAGUGGCGAACGGGUGAGUAACACGUGAGUAACCUGCCCUUGACUUUGGGAUAACUUCAGGAAACUGGGGCUAAUACCGGAUAGGAGCUCCUGCUGCAUGGUGGGGGUUGGAAAGUUUCGGCGGUUGGGGAUGGACUCGCGGCUUAUCAGCUUGUUGGUGGGGUAGUGGCUUACCAAGGCUUUGACGGGUAGCCGGCCUGAGAGGGUGACCGGCCACAUUGGGACUGAGAUACGGCCCAGACUCCUACGGGAGGCAGCUGUGGGGAAUAUUGCACAAUGGGCGGGAGCCUGAUGCAGCAACGCCGCGUGCGGGAUGACGGCCUUCGGGUUGUAAACCGCUUUCGCCUGUGACGAAGCGUGAGUGACGGUAAUGGGUAAAGAAGCACCGGCUAACUACGUG
rnacentral:rRNA from 1 species